rnacentral:rRNA from 1 species
CAGCAGCCGCGGUAAUACAGAGGGUGCAAGCGUUAAUCGGAAUUACUGGGCGUAAAGCGCGCGUAGGUGGUUCGCCAAGUUGGAUGUGAAAUCCCCGGGCUCAACCUGGGAACUGCAUCCAAAACUGGCGAGCUAGAGUAUGGUAGAGGGUGGUGGAAUUUCCUGUGUAGCGGUGAAAUGCGUAGAUAUAGGAAGGAACAUCAGUGGCGAAGGCGACCACCUGGACUGAUACUGACACUGAGGUGCGAAAGCGUGGGGAGCAAACAGGAUUAGAUACCCCAGUAGUCCCUGUCUCUUAUAA